UACGGAGGGUGCAAGCGUUAUCCGGAUUCACUGGGUUUAAAGGGCGCGUAGGCGGCUUGGUAAGUCGGGGGUGAAAGUCAGCGGCUCAACCGCUGGACUGCCUUCGAGACUGCCUGGCUUGAGCAUGGUAGAGGCUGGCGGAAUUCCCGGUGUAGCGGUGGAAUGCGUAGAGAUCGGGAAGAACAUCGGUGGCGAAGGCGGCCAGCUGGGCCAUUGCUGACGCUGAGGCGCGACAGCGUGGGGAGCAAACAGG
rnacentral:rRNA from 1 species